rnacentral:rRNA from 1 species
UUUACCUGAAUUCAUAGGGUAAAGAGGCAAACGCAGAGAACUGAAACAUCUAAGUAACUGCAGGAAAAGAAAUCAACCGAGAUUCUGUUAGUAGCGGCGAGCGAAAGCGGAACAGCCCUUAAGCUUUAAUUGGAUUAGAAAAACGAUCUGGAAAGUUCGGCCAUAGUGGGUGAUAGCCCCGUAUUCAAAAAUCUAAUUUGAGUGAAAUCGAGUAGGUCGGGACACGAGAAAUCUUGACUGAACAUGGGGGGACCAUCCUCCAAGGCUAAAUACUCCUAGCUGACCGAUAGUGAACCAGUACCGUGAGGGAAAGGCGAAAAGAACCCCGGAGAGGGGAGUGAAAUAGAACCUGAAAUCAUAUGCAUACAAGCUGUCGGAGCCUCAAGAAGUUCUUCGGAACUUCAGGGUGACGGCGUACCUUUUGUAUAAUGGGUCAGCGAGUUACUGUCUGUGGCAAGCUUAACUUUAUGAGGUAGGCGUAGGGAAACCGAGUCUUAAUAGGGCGUUUAGUCGCAGGGAGUAGACCCGAAACCGGGCGAUCUAUCCAUGGCCAGGGUGAAGGUAAGGUAACACUUMCUGGAGGCCCGAACCCACUUAUGUUGAAAAAUGAGGGGAUSASCUGUGGAUSGGAGUGAAAAGGCUAAUCAAGCUCGGAGAUAUCUGGUUCUCCUCGACAGCUAUUUAGGUAGCGCCUCGUGUGUCACUCUUGGGGGUAGAGCACUGUCUCGGCUAGGGGGUCAUCCCGACUUACCAAACCGACGCAAACUCCAAAUACCAAGAAGUGUUAGCACGGGAGACAGACUGCGGGUGCUAACGUCCGUAGUCGAAAGGGAAACAACCCAGACCGCCAGCUAAGGUCCCAAAUUAUGAUUAAGUGGGAAACGAUGUGGGAAGGCUUAAACAGCUAGGAGGUUGGCUUAGAAGCAGCCAUCCUUUAAAGAUAGCGUAACAGCUCACUAGUCGAGUCGGCCCGCGCGGAAGAUAUAACGGGGCCUAAAUCAUAAACCGAAGCUGCCGGAUAGAUAUUUAUAUCUAUG